rnacentral:rRNA from 1 species
GAUGAACGCUGGCGGCGUGCCUAAUACAUGCAAGUCGAGCGAACGGACGAGAAGCUUGCUUUUCUGAUGUUAGCGGCGGACGGGUGAGUAACACGUGGAUAACCUACCUAUAAGACUGGGAUAACUUCGGGAAACCGGAGCUAAUACCGGAUAAUAUUUUGAACCGCAUGGUUCAAAAGUGAAAGACGGUCUUGCUGUCACUUAUAGAUGGAUCCGCGCUGCAUUAGCUAGUUGGUAAGGUAACGGCUUACCAAGGCAACGAUGCAUAGCCGACCUGUGAGGGUGAUCGGCCACACUGGAACUGAGACACGGUCCAGACUCCUACGGGAGGCAGCAGUAGGGAAUCUUCCGCAAUGGGCGAAAGCCUGACGGAGCAACGCCGCGUGAGUGAUGAAGGUCUUCGGAUCGUAAAACUCUGUUAUUAGGGAAGAACAUAUGUGUAAGUAACUGUGCACAUCUUGACGGUACCUAAUCAGAAAGCCACGGCUAACUACGUG